AUUGAACGCUGGCGGCAUGCUUUACACAUGCAAGUCGAACGGCAGCGCGGGCUUCGGCCUGGCGGCGAGUGGCGAACGGGUGAGUAAUGCAUCGGAACGUGCCCAGUAGUGGGGGAUAGCCCGGCGAAAGCCGGAUUAAUACCGCAUACGACCUGAGGGUGAAAGCGGGGGACCGAAAGGCCUCGCGCUAUUGGAGCGGCCGAUGUCGGAUUAGCUAGUUGGUGGGGUAAAGGCUUACCAAGGCGACGAUCCGUAGCUGGUCUGAGAGGACGACCAGCCACACUGGGACUGAGACACGGCCCAGACUCCUACGGGAGGCAGCAGUGGGGAAUUUUGGACAAUGGGGGCAACCCUGAUCCAGCUAUGCCGCGUGCGGGAAGAAGGCCUUCGGGUUGUAAACCGCUUUUGUCCGGGAAGAAAUCCUCUGGGCUAAUACCCCGGGGGGAUGACGGUACCGGAAGAAUAAGCACCGGCUAACUACGUG
rnacentral:rRNA from 1 species